UGUUCAAGGCCAGCUUUGAGUAAUGUGGUCUAGUGGAAGGUGUCUCUGUACAUGGCAGGGGGGUUGGAACAAGGAAAUUUCAAAGCUCCCUUUCAACCCCGAACCUUCUGUGAUUCUAUGAAGUCUACAUAAGAUAAUACUUACCCAAGAAAACCUGUGAUUUGAAAGACUAAUCCUGCAAAACCUGGCUCCUGAGAGCAAUGUGGCACAUCUCACAUUUUUUUCAGGUUUUGGACAAAGCAAAGGUGGAAAGUGAAAGAUAAAGAGGUGUUAUAUAUUUCCUUUGCACCCUUUCUGUGGCUGAACACACCGACGCACACUGAAGCAUAAAGUAGGGCUGGGCACAGGGCUGACUGAUGUGGCUAACUACAGGUGAGCUGAGGGCCUGAAACAGAGGAGCAAGCUCUGGCACAACCCUGGCUGCACCGAAAAAAGCUUCAAGUUGGAGGUGUAAAGGAAGCUGAGGGCAAAGCAAACAGAAAAAUAAUGACAGUAUAAUAAGGAGGCUUAGUAUGGAAGCCACAUCAGUAUUUUUGUUUGCAAGGAAAUAAUUGAAAAUGCUCACCAAAGUGGAGAAAACUCAGGUCUCAUAGCUAGAAAAGUUUCCUUCUUUCCAGGACAUCAGAGACUGUUCUGCAGUGUCUCUUGCUGCUAUAGACAAGGGGCACUAGGUAGCCAAGGCACUCUUUCUGGACUUCCCCGCCCAGUUUUAAUAGGAAGAAAUGGUCCCCUUUCCACAAGAGUUCAGGGAGGCUGACUGGAAGAUCUCCAGAAUCUGUAUCAAGUCCUGCCUUAUGGAGCCUCCCUGGGGCUCCCCACCCAAGCACUCCCUGCAGGUGCACUAAGCCCAGGCAGGUAGAGAAGAGUGGGUCUCUUUGGCCAGACAUGGGCAUUUACCGCGUGUAUUGCUGUGUCAGGACUCUCCUUGUGUCAUUUCUGUCUGGCCAGGGAAGAGCACAAUUUACCUUGUCCUAACAUAGACAUUAAAAAGAUGAAAUCUAAACCCCUAAAAUGCACUUUUUUUCCUCCACUGAAGAGAGUGCCCAGGGUGAGGCAGGCUAGAUGUCUUCUCAGCAGAUUCAUAUCUCCUGCUCACCAACAGGAGAGGGACCUGUCUGGCCAGCCACACAAAGCAGGAGCUGGACAUGGUGAAGGGCCAUGGAGCCACUGGAGGUGGCACCACCAUGGGCUGACUGACUCUCACUUGAAAGCUUGAUUCCUUUUACAGAACUCUUUGUGCCAUGGCUAAAUUCACAGGGUAUCCCUUCAAGAAAUUCCCUCUCUCUGAGUCAGCUCGAGAACUUUAGCAGUCACUUCUACUCAUCUCUCAUGCUCAAGUUUUCUGUGCUUGACCAAAGUGCAUUGCAGCCAAACUUGAAUUAGUGAGAUUUUGAGUCCUGGUGAUUUCUCACAACUAAGGCUUACCCCUUGCUUGCUUUAGAAAAGACUAGUUGAGAAUUUCAACUCUUUUCUUAAUAAUCUUCCUUGUCAUUUUAUUCUAAAAUCCCUCAAUGUAAUUUCUACUUCAUUUUCAGUUGGAAAUUUCAUUAAAGAAAGGCUCUCCUGUGUAAAUUGGUCACUAUCCAGAAAUGACACCUUCUCACUUUAAAUUUUUCUUGUUUAUAAUUGAGUGGGCUAUCGCUUUGAUCUUUUUUUUUUUUCUUUUUUCCUGUUUCAGUUGGAGCAAACUAAAAGAAAAAGUCUCUUCAGACAUAAUAUUUUUGUUGAACAUGAAUAAUCUUAUUAUCAGAGCUGUGCUGCUCAGGGGAUUUCCAUGUUGUCAUGGCUGCAUUUUGUCUGGGUGGGGAAAUGAGGGACCACAAUGAAAAGAAAAAAACUAGUAUCGAGAAUACCCUGAGCAAAAGUACAUUUUGUUUUACUUCUGCACCUCUGCUUCAGAAGCUGUUUCAUUUCUAGGAGAUAUUUGAGUCUAUCCGUCUCACCUUGUUGCCUUACUCUGAUGUCUGGGACGUAGGAAAUUAAAUCUGUGAGUCUAAAUCAUAGAACAGCUGAAGGGUUAGUACUCAGAAGAGGCUAAAAGAAAGAUGGAUUACUUUUCACUCGCAAUAAAUUUUCACUGCUUCUGUCUCCUCAUUGCAGAUUCCACAAAAAACCCCAACAAACCACCAUCAACUAAACCAACCCACAACAAAAACCCCUUCUGGUUUAAACAGCCAUUAACGAAGUCCAGGUUGCAACCUCCGUGACUGUGAAAAGGAAGUUUUUCAGUGCCCUGUGGUGCACAAGUGUGGGCUGUCCAUACAGUGUAUCAGCUCCUAAGCACUUUCUGCUGCCCUACAUAUCCUCCAGUGCUUCCUUGGAUUAUCACUUUUGUUGCAGCUGUUGACUAACCAGGCAAGUCAUCCACAAGUUAGCAUCCAUCUUUGCUUCUUAUACUGUUUGUUGACUCAUGUUUGCUUUUUUUUUCUCCUUAGGUCACAGAAGUAUUUUUUGAUUCUGCUUUGGCUCCAAAAAUUGCAGAAAGUUUCUGCACACGUGCUAAAUUCAAAUCUGCUGUCAGUAUGCAUUUAGAAAGAUGAAGUGAAUAAAUCUCUUCCUUCUAACAACAGUACUUUUCAAAGGCUUCACUUCAGGGAAUUCCCAGAACCUCUGUGAGAGAGGAGUGGAGUGGAUCCUCCAGACACAUCUCAGGGUGCAGCACUAGAGACAGGACAUGUGUAGACUUAUGGAAGUGUUUGAAACCCUUGUGUUUGAGGAGCUCAGUGGAUACCCAUGGGUACCCAUGGUCCAUCUUGGGACUGGGUGUGGGAGGAGCUUUUUUCAAGUUGGUCAUAGCUGGCAGGAGCUGCUGGGAUUCUUGGCCCUUUUAAAGGCACGGGGGUUCCUCCGCUCCCUGGGCUGUCAAUAAAUUAUCUCAUUAUAUUACAGAGUCUCAUUAGAACUUGUAUUAUGUAAAUGCUCAAACAGACUUCAUACUUUGACUUUUAUUUUUUUAACUAGAUAUGCCAGGAACCCUCUGCAGCCAACUUCAGAUGUGAAGAGGAGGAUUUCUACUUUAAAAAAAAAAAAAGUCUAAAAUUUUCUCUUUUUUUUGUUGCUUCCUGACAUUUUUUUGUCCUUACCUGCUUCAUAAACCUCUUUGCAUCUCUGCCUUCUCCCUGGCAGAGCCAUCUCUCAACAGUUCCUCAGCUGAAGGUCUGCGGGUUAGUCUUGGGCUGUUUUAAGAAAUGUUCUGCUUGUCCAAGAGCAGGAGCAUGUGGGAGCCAGUCUUGCUUAAGGGAAAAUAGCCAUGAACAUGAAGCCUUGAGUGAAGAAAAGAACCCUGAGAUUAAUGGAUUUACUCUGCAAGAAAUUGUGUUUCACUUAUCACCAAAGUAUUUUGGUCUGCAUAGUGUGAGAGCAAUGCUGGGUGGAAGAUACACAGUUUGUCACCAUAUGUCCUGAAAAAUGGACCCUUGUGUGACAAAGAGAAGAAAAUUUUGAAAAUUUUUCUGAACUGUCUUUGUCUUUGAGGUUUUGCCACUUAAAAUGGCUUUGAACUUCCCCAGGGUUCAUAAAUUGGCACCAUAAUAACAAGGAGGACUGUUAUACUCAGGGAAAAAUACAGAUAAGCUGGAAAAAACAUUGCUGGCUGAAGUGUAAAGCAGGAGGAACUGAUGUGUACUUUGGUCAGGCAAUAUUCAAAUAUUCUGAGAUCAGACUAAAAAACAACAAGAAAGACGGAAAAAAGUGAACUUUUUUCUCCCCUCCUUACGUAACAGAUACAGCACCAGCAGAAACAAGAACAGUCAUAUUAAUAGGUCUGUACUUCUUCUAUUUGUUUGCUAGUUUCUAAGUCUUCAGGGUGCCCAGGAUAUUAUUUUCAACUGUCCUCUACAAUAACUAGAGUUAAACCAUAAAGACAUGAAAGCUUAAAUUGUUUUCAUGUUAUUUGUUUUAGGUCUAAAAGAGCAUCUGCAAGAUGUAUUACUCACUUUUGAGAUCUGGUAGGAAAGCACCUGUACUUGCUCAAAUACAUGUUUCAGACACAAUGUUGGGCCAAAACCCUGUCAUUUUGGUAACAAUGGGGAAUUUUGAAAAUGCAUUUUAAUUCAGUAAAAUGCUUCAUUCUGACCCAUGCAACUUUUAAAUUAAAGUUUUAAAUUUUAA